CAAGGCUGAGGCGUGAUGACGAGGCACUGCGGUGCUGAAGCAACAAAUGCCCUGCUUCCAGGAAAAGCCUCUAAGCAUCAGGUAACAUCAAAUCGUACCCCAAACCGACACAGGUGGUCAGGUAGAGAAUACCAAGGCGCUUGAGAGAACUCGGGUGAAGGAACUAGGCAAAAUGGUGCCGUAACUUCGGGAGAAGGCACGCUGAUAUGUAGGUGAAGUCCCUCGCGGAUGGAGCUGAAAUCAGUCGAAGAUACCAGCUGGCUGCAACUGUUUAUUAAAAACACAGCACUGUGCAAACACGAAAGUGGACGUAUACGGUGUGACGCCUGCCCGGUGCCGGAAGGUUAAUUGAUGGGGUUAGCGCAAGCGAAGCUCUUGAUCGAAGCCCCGGUAAACGGCGGCCGUAACUAUAACGGUCCUAAGGUAGCGAAAUUCCUUGUCGGGUAAGUUCCGACCUGCACGAAUGGCGUAAUGAUGGCCAGGCUGUCUCCACCCGAGACUCAGUGAAAUUGAACUCGCUGUGAAGAUGCAGUGUACCCGCGGCAAGACGGAAAGACCCCGUGAACCUUUACUAUAGCUUGACACUGAACAUUGAGCCUUGAUGUGUAGGAUAGGUGGGAGGCUUUGAAGUGUGGACGCCAGUCUGCAUGGAGCCGACCUUGAAAUACCACCCUUUAAUGUUUGAUGUUCUAACGUUGACCCGUAAUCCGGGUUGCGGACAGUGUCUGGUGGGUAGUUUGACUGGGGCGGUCUCCUCCUAAAGAGUAACGGAGGAGCACGAAGGUUGGCUAAUCCUGGUCGGACAUCAGGAGGUUAGUGCAAUGGCAUAAGCCAGCUUGACUGCGAGCGUGACGGCGCGAGCAGGUGCGAAAGCAGGUCAUAGUGAUCCGGUGGUUCUGAAUGGAAGGGCCAUCGCUCAACGGAUAAAAGGUACUCCGGGGAUAACAGGCUGAUACCGCCCAAGAGUUCAUAUCGACGGCGGUGUUUGGCACCUCGAUGUCGGCUCAUCACAUCCUGGGGCUGAAGUAGGUCCCAAGGGUAUGGCUGUUCGCCAUUUAAAGUGGUACGCGAGCUGGGUUUAGAACGUCGUGAGACAGUUCGGUCCCUAUCUGCCGUGGGCGCUGGAGAACUGAGGGGGGCUGCUCCUAGUACGAGAGGACCGGAGUGGACGCAUCACUGGUGUUCGGGUUGUCAUGCCAAUGGCACUGCCCGGUAGCUAAAUGCGGAAGAGAUAAGUGCUGAAAGCAUCUAAGCACGAAACUUGCC
rnacentral:rRNA from 1 species